rnacentral:rRNA from 1 species
AGAGGAAGUAAAAGUCGUAACAAGGUUUCCGUAGGUGAACCUGCGGAAGGAUCAUUAUUGAAAUAAACCUGAUGGGUUGUUGCUGGUUCUCUAGGGAGCAUGUGCACACCUUGUCAUCUUUAUAUCUCCACCUGUGCACCUUUUGUAGACCUUUCAGGUCUAUGUUGCUUCAUUUACCCCAAUGUAUGUUAAUAGAAUGUUGUGCCUAUAUAAUAUAUACAACUUUCAGCAACGGAUCUCUUGGCUCUCGCAUCGAUGAAGAACGCAGCGAAAUGCGAUAAGUAAUGUGAAUUGCAGAAUUCAGUGAAUCAUCGAAUCUUUGAACGCACCUUGCGCUCCUUGGUAUUCCGAGGAGCAUGCCUGUUUGAGUGUCAUUAAUAUAUCAACCUUCUCUUUUUGAGUGGUUUGGAUGUGGGGGUUUGCUGGCCUCUUAAAAGGUCUUGGCUCUCCUGAAAUACAUUAGCAGAACAACCCUGUUCAUUGGUGUGAUAACUAUCUACGCUAUUGAAUGUGAAGGGCAGUUUGGCUUUCUAACAGUCCUUGGACAAGCUCAUCAUUAAUGUGACCUCAAAUCAGGUAGGACUACCCGCUGAACUUAAGCAUAUCAAUAA